CGGCGACGGGUGAGUAACACGUGGGUGAUCUGCCUUGCACUCUGGGAUAAGCCUGGGAAACUGGGUCUAAUACCGGAUAUGACCUUCGGCUUCCUGGUCGUUGGUGGAAAGAUUUAUCGGUGCAAGAUGAGCCCGCGGCCUAUCAGCUUGUUGGUGGGGUAAUGGCCUACCAAGGCGACGACGGGUAGCCGGCCUGAGAGGGCGACCGGCCACACUGGGACUGAGACACGGCCCAGACUCCUACGGGAGGCAGCAGUGGGGAAUAUUGCACAAUGGGCGGAAGCCUGAUGCAGCGACGCCGCGUGAGGGAUGACGGCCUUCGGGUUGUAAACCUCUUUCGACUCCGACGAAGCGAGAGUGACGGUAGGAGUAUAAGAAGCACCGGCCAACUACGUGCCAGCAGCCGCGGUAAUACGUAGGGUGCGAGCGUUGUCCGGAAUUACUGGGCGUAAAGAGCUUGUAGGCGGCUUGUCGCGUCGAUCGUGAAAACUCGGGGCUCAACCCCGAGCUUGCGGUCGAUACGGGCAGGCUUGAGUACUUCAGG
rnacentral:rRNA from 1 species